rnacentral:rRNA from 1 species
GUAUCAGAAGUGCGAAUGCUGACAUAAGUAACGAUAAAGCGGGUGAAAAGCCCGCUCGCCGGAAGACCAAGGGUUCCUGUCCAACGUUAAUCGGGGCAGGGUGAGUCGACCCCUAAGGCGAGGCCGAAAGGCGUAGUCGAUGGGAAACAGGUUAAUAUUCCUGUACUUGGUGUUACUGCGAAGGGGGGACGGAGAAGGCUAUGUUGGCCGGGCGACGGUUGUCCCGGUUUAAGCGUGUAGGCUGGUUUUCCAGGCAAAUCCGGAAAACCAAGGCUGAGGCGUGAUGA